rnacentral:rRNA from 1 species
AGUGAACGCUGGCGGUAGGCCUAACACAUGCAAGUCGAACGGCAGCACAGUAAGAGCUUGCUCUUACGGGUGGCGAGUGGCGGACGGGUGAGGAAUACAUCGGAAUCUACUUUUUCGUGGGGGAUAACGUAGGGAAACUUACGCUAAUACCGCAUACGACCUACGGGUGAAAGCAGGGGAUCUUCGUACCUUGCGCGAUUGAAUGAGCCGAUGUCGGAUUAGCUAGUUGGCGGGGUAAAGGCCCACCAAGGCGACGAUCCGUAGCUGGUCUGAGAGGAUGAUCAGCCACACUGGAACUGAGACACGGUCCAGACUCCUACGGGAGGCAGCAGUGGGGAAUAUUGGACAAUGGGCGCAAGCCUGAUCCAGCCAUACCGCGUGGGUGAAGAAGGCCUUCGGGUUGUAAAGCCCUUUUAUUGGGAAAGAAAAGCAGCAGGUUAAUACCCCGCUGUUCUGACGGUACCCAAAGAAUAAGCACCGGCUAACUUCGUG